AACGCAGUCUCCAGAGAAGUUCAGUGACUUGUGGGAAAUCCCAGAGAGAUAGAAGUGAAACCUGUAGCAGAAGGUCAGACACCAUCCCAAGGCAGCGAGCGACGCGUGACCAUUGGACUGCCCCACAGCCAACACUGCGGCUCCAUCCCUCCAAGCAAUCAGUGACUUGCCCCACGCCACCUUGGUGGGUCCUUUGAAGAUGGCGUGAGUUGGGGCAUGUGAAGCUUUUAAAGCACCGUCUUUCAAACAAAGCACCCAACCCGAGAUGGGGUGCCUGCAGCCAUCCUACACCAUAGAAUGAUAGUCUGUGGACUGUAGACUAAUACAACGGACAGACCUGGGUUCCUGGAGACAGAUGGUAACAAUCUAGCUGAUAGUACUAUGUGGCCAGUGUGGAAUAACUAACGGAACAGGUGUCCUUCCAUUCUGUAGACACUCUGGAAGCUUCCACCGAGUCCUUCUCUAAGCUUCAUUGUAGACACCGCAUGAAGAAACAGCUACACUUAGAAGCUUGAGAUUCGUCUAGCUACAGAAAACCAGAGGUGCCCUCCAACCCAGUCACGCAGGAUGCCCGAAGCGUCAGCUGCAGUUUUCUCAUCCCGAUAGCAUCCCGUAAGGAUGUGUUAGCAGCUUGCUUGCUACUGAAGUCAUUAGGAUGACAGCCUAGAUCUUGGACAGCCCUAAUAAGGUUGUGAGAAAUCUGUUCCGAGUUAGAGGUGAUGUGUUCCCCCACUAAGCGCCCUCGUGAAACAAAAUCAAACGAAAACUCUGAGAGGAGCUCAGCUUGGGCUCCAGUGGACUGUUCCAGUUUACUGUGUGGCUUUGCUAUGAAGUGUCCCUACAGAGGAUCAUGGCUUAGAGCCUUUGAUCCCAAAGGUGGCAAUAUUGAUUGGACUGUGAAGACAUUAAACCCACCAGUGAAUGGGCCCAUUGAUAAUAUCAUAGAUGAAUCAGUUUGCAGAGGGAACACCUCCCUAGAGGAAGCAAGACACUGGGUCAUCAUGUCUCUGAAACAUCUGUCUAUUCCUGAAUCCUUCCUGUCUCCCUCUCUCUGCCUUCUUCGUGCCAUGAAUGAGCCACCUGGCCCAAGCACAUAUACCACCAUAACGUCCUGUCUCACCAUGCCAACCAGAAGCAGCAGAGCCAAAUGACUAAGGACCAAAGCUGCUGAAUCCAGGACGCAGCAAGCCUUUUCCCCUUUAAGUUGAUUUUCCAUUGGCACUUUGUCAUAGAGAUAAAAUAUACUAACAAAUCCCACUCUAGACUAACAGCGAAUGUCCAGGGGUUGCCAAGUUCUUUCAUGAAUCCCUAGAGGAACAGAACUGAAAGAAUGAGUCGAGUCUGUCUGUCUAUCUAUCUAUCU